rnacentral:misc_RNA from 1 species
AAGUCGUAACAAGGUUUCCGUAGGUGAACCUGCGGAAGGAUCAUUAAAGAAUCGCCCCGUUUUUGAAAUUGGGUUCAUGAUUCCCUAAAUCCCAGCUGUUUACAUACCUUAGUUGCUUUGGCAGGCCGUGGAAACACCAUGGGCUCCGGCUUAUGCGUGCCUGCCAGAGGAAACAAACUCUGUUUUUAGUGAUGUCUGAGUACUAUAUAAUAGUUAAAA